AGUACAGUACUUAAUGAACUCGCCAGUCUGGUGCAGUACAUGAGGAGGAGAUGGACUGCAGUACUUUAUGCAGCUGGUGGCCAGACCAGAUACUUAGGGCUACAUUUUAUUUUGAUCCCCCCCCCCCCCCCCCCCCCCCC